GGCAUGGCCGUCGUCAGUUCGUACUGUGAAGCAUCCUGUUAAGUCAGGCAACGAGCGAGACCCACGCCCACAGUUGCCAGCGUACUCUCUGGAGUGACGGGUACACUGUGGGGACCGCCGCUGCUAAAGCGAAGGAAGGAAUGGGCAACGGUAGGUCAGUAUGCCCCGAAUAUCCCGGGCUACACGCGAGCUACAAUGGUUGGUACAAUGGGUAUCUACCCCGAAAGGGGACGGGAAUCUCCUAAAACCAAUCUUAGUUCGGAUUGAGGGCUGCAACUCGCCCUCAUGAAGCUGGAAUCCGUAGUAAUCGCGUUUCAACAGAACGCGGUGAAUACGUCCCUGCUCCUU
rnacentral:rRNA from 1 species